UUCCAUUAUUAGCUUGGUUAUUUAGCUCCAUAUCCAGGAAAACUUGGUCCUGCAGAUUGUUGCAGUGGUUGCCCUCAUUGAGAAUUGCUGCUAUCUGGGGGUCGUCGCACAGACAAGAAGCUCAUUAAAGCUGAUAUACCAGAUUUAAGAUUUCAACCAUAUAGAUGCAAUGGGAAUGCUAAACAUUUGUACAAGAGUUGCAAGAUGGAAGAGAAUGGGGUGUGAAAGCAGUAAAACAGGUUACCAAAUUAGAUCUAAAAUCUCUUAAGUAUGCCUUUCUUAGGUACU